UUCCUCGUCACCUUUUGUUGCCAAAGGAAAAGUGUUCACAAUUGAGCGACUAAAUAGAAAGAGCCUCGUUCCAGAAACAUAGAGGUGUCCCCCAUAACACACGAAAUAUUUCUGACUCUCUUUUCUGAGCCAGGCCACGGCAGGGAGAGUAAACAGGAGCUGGUAGUUUGGACGAGGCUCUGCCUCCAGGAGCAUGUCCUCCCCCUACUGCAGUCACGAUUUCCAGAAGAUACCAUAUAGUCCAAGAUGUCCAAACACUUCCCUGGCCAUGCUUCAGGCCAGGAUGACUGUCCUCCCACCAGGGGACAGAUCCCUGCAGAGGCCCAGCAGCUCACCUGACACCCCCUAUUAUUACUGCUACCUGAUCCCUCAGUGUUCCUCUCUCCGCCUCACAAGAUUGCCCAACAUCAUUUGUUACCUGCGUCAUCUUUGAACAUUCUCAUGUCCUUUAGCACGCAGCUGUGUCUUUGGAGUCUGCCUCUUUACCCGUAUCACCCUCUGGGCCCUUGCCCCUGGCUUGGGCGCAGGGUGCAGAUUCUGACUCAUUCCUUGUCUACCGUAUCUUGCCACAGAUGAUCAGCCCUGCUCCUGGAGAACAUUGUGGCCAAAACUGCAGUCUUAGAAAAGAGAUUGGAGACAAAUUCAUUAAGGACUUCCUACCAUUUAUUAAAAGUUGAUCAACGGUGAAGGGUCCGUGAUCAAAGGAACGAGACUGAUGCAAAGCGAAAGUCAAGCAAAGCUUUAUUUCGUGCCAAGCAUUGAAAAUCGUGCCAAGCAUUGAAAACCGACUGGUAGGGGCCGUCUCUUACGAAGAGACAACGACGACGACCCCGACAAGGCGGCUCCCAAGAAGUCCACUCCGGACAAGGCCACUCUGGAUGAGGCCUCUCCCCGACGAGGCCGCUCCCCAGAUGAGGCCACUCCCGACGGGGCCGUUCCCAGGAGGAGGCGGCUCCAGACGAGGCCGCUGCCGAUGAGGUCGCUCCCCGGACAGGGCUCCCCGGAAUGAGGCUGCUGGCCGCGAGGCUGCAGGCGGUGAGGCCAUUGGCCGGGGUGCCGCUGCCUCUGACUAUGAUGACCAGGACAACCACGACACUGCGACUCUCCCCCGAAGACCACGCUAACCGCUAUUCCAACUCCUCCUCAUACUCCUACUCCUCCCCAGCCUCACAGACUAAUCUUUAUAGAGGUGGUUGAGCCCGGCCCACACACAGGUGGCCAAUGGGAUUUCAAGUCACCACAGUAAAUAUAUGCGCGCCCCACUGAUUGGAUGUUUCCAUCCGGCCUGGCCCGCCCCUAUAUCCGGGGUUUGCAACUAAGUUCCUCUGGCUAACCAGGCCCUUACAUUACUGGGAGGACGGUCCCAUCCGCGUCAGCACUGCGCCUGCUCCAGACGCCCCGGAACGUUCCGCUGCUGUGGCAGUGCGGCUGGAAUCCGACUCGCCACCUGCAAGGUCAUGUGCGGGACCCCCGGAGCACCAGCGGACCCAUCUCUUACACAGGCUGACCGAUUUCCCCUGGUGUUCAGAGUCUGUUUUUGUCUAGCACCAUUUGAAAUCGGUUAUGAUGUAGGGGGAAAAACGGUGGCCCCGAAGCCUCGUGCGGGCUCUGGGGAGCCACCGCCUGCGGUUUCCUGGAGGACCCACAGGCAGAGAGUGCGCAAGGACCACCGCGCGCCGUUUCCCCUAACUUCUUUAACUGCAUUUAUGAUCCCUUACUGCAGAGGUAAGAGAGAACCGAAUGUGUUUUGAGAAAUGGCUGUGCUGUAUCUGGUGUCCGGGUUGCAUGGUGCUGGAAGGUGGUAGGUGCCGCCCAUGCGGUCAGUGGUUGCUGUUGAAUUCUCCUUCUGUGACGGGUCUGUUGGUGCUCCUGCCUGAAUAAAUAUUUCCCUCUA